GGCGGCCCAUCUCGUCCGCCACGCGCCCAGGGAGGUGGUGCUGCGGGUGCUCAGGGCAAGACCCCCGCCCUGCUGUCUCAUGUGCUAUCUCAUCCUAAGGUCUGAUAAAAACUCAAAAAUUUCCAGUCAACUUCGUACUCAAUUUUCAGAACUUUCUAUCGAUCGUAUCAACUUCAAAUUUUUACACAAUCAAGGUCAACUAUCUAACUACAAUCUCACCGAAAGUCACAAUCCUAGGGGCAACCAAUCACCCGCAAUCACCCAAAAUGUAACUACAUCUCAUCCUUAGGUCCGACAAGCACUCAAAAAUUUUCAAUCAAAUUCGUACUCAAUUUUCACAACUUUUCAUCAAUCGAAUCAACUUCAAAUUUUUACACAAUCAAGACCAACUAUCUAACUACAACCCCACCAAAAAUCACAAUCCUAGGGGCAACCAAUCACCCACAAUCACCCAAAAAGUAACUACAUCUCAUCCUUAGGUCUGAUCAACUCUCAAAAAUUUUCAGUCAACUUCGUACUCAAUUUUCACAACUUUCCAUCAAUCAAAUCAAAUUCAAAUUUUUACACAAUCAAGACCAACUAUCUAACUACAACCCCACCAAAAAUCAUAAUCCUAGGCCCAACCAAUCACCCACAAUCACCCAAAAGGUAACAUCAUCUCAUCCUUAGGUCAGAAAUUUUCACUCAACUUCGUACUCAAUUUUCAGAACUUUCCAUCAAUCGCAUGAAGUCCAAAUUCUGACACCAUCAAGGCCAACUAUCUAACUACAAUCCCAAUCCAAA